UACGGAGGGUGCAAGCGUUAUCCGGAUUCACUGGGUUUAAAGGGUGCGUAGGUGGGUUGGUAAGUCAGUGGUGAAAUCUCCAGGCUUAACUUGGAAACUGCCAUUGAUACUAUCAAUCUUGAAUACCGUGGAGGUCAGCGGAAUAUGUCAUGUAGCGGUGAAAUGCUUAGAUAUGACAUAGAACACCAAUUGCGAAGGCAGCUGGCUACACGAAUAUUGACACUGAUGCACGAAAGCCAGGGGAGCGAACGGG
rnacentral:rRNA from 1 species